rnacentral:rRNA from 1 species
GACGAACGCUGGCGGCGUGCCUAAUACAUGCAAGUAGAGCGCACAGUUUAUACCGUAGCUUGCUACACCAUAGACUGUGAGUUGCGAACGGGUGAGUAACGCGUAGGUAACCUGCCUGGUAGCGGGGGAUAACUAUUGGAAACGAUAGCUAAUACCGCAUAAUAUUAAUUAUUGCAUGAUAAUUAAUUGAAAGGUGCAAUUGCACCACUACCAGAUGGACCUGCGUUGUAUUAGCUAGUAGGUGAGGUAACGGCUCACCUAGGCGACGAUACAUAGCCGACCUGAGAGGGUGAUCGGCCACACUGGGACUGAGACACGGCCCAGACUCCUACGGGAGGAAGCAGUAGGGAAUCUUCGGCAAUGGACGAAAGUCUGACCGAGCAACGCCGCGUGAGUGAAGAAGGUUUUCGGAUCGUAAAGCUCUGUUGUAAGAGAAGAACGGGUGUGAGAGUGGAAAGUUCACACUGUGACGGUAUCUUACCAGAAAGGGACGGCUAACUACGUG